rnacentral:rRNA from 1 species
UACGUAGGCAGCAAGCGUUGUUCGGAAUUACUGGGCGUAAAGAGUGUGUAGGCGGUGCUCCAAGUCUGGUGUGAAAUCUCCCGGCUUAACUGGGAGGGUGCAUUAGAAACUGGAAUGCUAGAGGAUGGGAGAGGUAAGCGGAAUUCCUGGUGUAGCGGUGAAAUGCGUAGAUAUCAGGAGGAACACCGGUGGCGAAGGCGGGUCUCUGGGCCAAAACUGACGCUGAGGAGCGAAAGCGUGGGGAGCGAACAGG